rnacentral:pre_miRNA from 1 species
UCUGUCACAUGUCUAUUGUACUUCAUCAGGUGCUCUGGUAUACUUUUUCCCGACACCUGUUGGAGUGCACUAAUUAUGUGGCUCGU